GCCGGCGCCACUUGACUAGGGAUGACUAGUUUAGAUCUCCACAUUCGUUAAUAUCUGAAUGUGUGGCACAAUUGAAAAGGCAGUGGCUUUCAGGCUAGUCACUGCAUGGACUAGUAAGGCAGCUCUCUUGCUCCCAGCACUGUGCAUCUGAUUCUCCAUUCUCAAGGACCACCUGACAUGGUUAAACAGCCCUGGCUUAACGUUCCAGACACUGCUGCCAAUACUUGCGGCUGUUAGUUCCUGAUUUCUGCUUAAGGCUUUGCAGUUCUGCUUAUAGUCCUGUGAUCACACUUCCUCCUGUGGCAGCUGAACUCCACAUUUCCCAAAACAGGAUUUCCCUAUUCUGUAGAGAACUUCCAUGAUUGAAUCUUCCUGCUUCUGGAAAUAAAAUGGGUAGUUCCUUGCAUACAAAGCUUGGAGGGUGUCUCUCGUUCUUCUCUUCUUCUGCUUUUUCUCAUUUACCUGAGGAGAAUUUUAAAUGGAUCAAAGGAAUGAAUGUCAGCCACCAAACUGAGAA
rnacentral:lncRNA from 1 species